AACGAACGCUGGCGGCAUGCCUAACACAUGCAAGUCGAACGAACCCUUCGGGUCUUUUCGCCCCCGGGUUCAUAACCCGUCGGAACCUGCCCUUAUGUUUGGACUAACUCUCCGAAAGGGGUGCUAUCACCGGACCGUGUCUUCUAACCAAAGAUAUAUCGACUUUGGAUGGUCCCGCGUUGGAUUAGCUAGUUGGUAGGGUAAAAGCCUACUAAGGCGACGAUUCAUAGCUGGGUUGAGAGGAUGAUCAGCCACACUGGGACUGAGACACGGCCCAGACUCCUACGGGAGGCAGCAGUGGGGAAUAUUGGACAAUGGGCGAAAGCCUGAUCCAGCAAUGCCGCGUGAGUGAUGAAGGCCUUAGGGUUGUAAAGCUCUUUUACCCGGGAUGAUAAUGACAGUACCGGGAGAAUAAGCGCCGGCUAACUCCGUG
rnacentral:rRNA from 1 species